rnacentral:rRNA from 1 species
AGAGUUUGAUCAUGGCUCAGGACGAACGCUGGCGGCACGCUUAACACAUGCAAGUCGAACGAGAGAAGAGGAGCUUGCUUUUCUGAUCUAGUGGCGGACGGGUGAGUAACACGUGAGCAAUCUGCCUUUCAGAGGGGGAUACCGAUUGGAGACGAUCGUUAAUACCGCAUAACAUAAUUGAACCGCAUGAUUUGAUUAUCAAAGAUUUAUCGCUGAAAGAUGAGCUCACGUCUGAUUAGCUAGUUGGUAAGGUAACGGCUUACCAAGGCGACGAUCAGUAGCCGGACUGAGAGGUUGAUCGGCCACAUUGGGACUGAGACACGGCCCAGACUCCUACGGGAGGCAGCAGUGGGGAAUAUUGCACAAUGGAGGAAACUCUGAUGCAGCGAUGCCGCGUGAGGGAAGAAGGUUUUAGGAUUGUAAACAUCUGUCUUCAGGGACGAAAAAAGACGGUACCUGAGGAGGAAGCUCCGGCUAACUACGUGCCAGCAGCCGCGGUAAUACGUAGGGAGCGAGCGUUGUCCGGAAUUACUGGGUGUAAAGGGAGCGUAGGCGGGAUCGCAAGUCAGAUGUGAAAACUAUGGGCUUAACCCAUAAACUGCAUUUGAAACUGUGGUUCUUGAGUGAAGUAGAGGUAAGCGGAAUUCCUAGUGUAGCGGUGAAAUGCGUAGAUAUUAGGAGGAACAUCAGUGGCGAAGGCGGCUUACUGGGCUUUAACUGACGCUGAGGCUCGAAAGCGUGGGGAGCAAACAGGAUUAGAUACCCUGGUAGUCCACGCCGUAAACGAUGAUUACUAGGUGUGGGGGGACUGACCCCUUCCGUGCCACAGCAAACGCAAUAAGUAAUCCACCUGGGGAGUACGACCGCAAGGUUGAAACUCAAAGGAAUUGACGGGGGCCCGCACAAGCAGUGGAGUAUGUGGAUUAAUUCGAAGCAACGCGAAGAACCUUACCAGGUCUUGACAUCGUAUGCAUAGCUCAGAGAUGAGUGAAAUCUCUUCGGAGACAUAUAGACAGGUGGUGCAUGGUUGUCGUCAGCUCGUGUCGUGAGAUGUUGGGUUAAGUCCCGCAACGAGUGCAACCCUUACUGUUAGUUGCUACGCAAGAGCACUCUAGCAGGACUGCCGUUGACAAAACGGAGGAAGGUGGGGAUGACGUCAAAUCAUCAUGCCCCUUAUGACCUGGGCCUCACACGUACUACAAUGGCUGUCAACAGAGGGAAGCAAAGCCGCGAGGUGGAGCGAACCCCUAAAAGCAGUCUUAGUUCGGAUUGUAGGCUGCAACCCGCCUACAUGAAGUCGGAAUUGCUAGUAAUCGCAGAUCAGCAUGCUGCGGUGAAUACGUUCCCGGGCCUUGUACACGCCGCCCGUCACGCCAUGGGAGUCGGUAACACCCGAAGCCUGUAGUCUAACCGCAAGGAGGACGCAGUCGAAGGUGGGAUUGAUGACUGGGGUGAAGUCGUAACAAGGUA